UACGUAGGGGGCAAGCGUUGUCCGGAAUCAUUGGGCGUAAAGAGCGUGUAGGCGGCCCGAUAAGUCCGCUGUGAAAGUCCAGGGCUCAACCCUGGGAUGCCGGUGGAUACUGUCGGGCUCGAGUCCGGAAGAGGAGUGUGGAAUUCCUGGUGUAGCGGUGGAAUGCGCAGAUAUCAGGAAGAACACCAACGGCGAAGGCAGCUCGCUGGGACGGUACUGACGCUGAGACGCGAAAGCGUGGGGAGCGAACAGG
rnacentral:rRNA from 1 species